rnacentral:rRNA from 1 species
AUUGAACGCUGGCGGCAGGCUUAACACAUGCAAGUCGAGCGGAGAUGAGGUGCUUGCACCUUAUCUUAGCGGCGGACGGGUGAGUAAUGCUUAGGAAUCUGCCUAUUAGUGGGGGACAACAUUCCGAAAGGAAUGCUAAUACCGCAUACGUCCUACGGGAGAAAGCAGGGGAUCUUCGGACCCUGCGCUAAUAGAUGAGCCUAAGUCGGAUUAGCUAGUUGGUGGGGUAAAGGCCUACCAAGGCGACGAUCUGUAGCGGGUCUUAGAGGAUGAUCCGCCACACUGGGACUGGAACACGGCCCAGACUCCUACGGGAGGCAGCAGUGGGGAAUAUUGGAAAAUGGGGGGAACCCUGAUCCAGCCAUGCAGCGUGUGUGAAGAAGGCCUUAUGGUUGUAAAGCACUUUAAGCGAGGAGGAGGCUACUGAGACUAAUACUCUUGGAUAGUGGACGUUGCUCGCAGAAUAAGCACCGGCUAACUCUGUGCCAGCAGCCGCCGUAA